UACAUGUGGGGCAAGCGUUGUUCGGAAUUACUUGGCCUAAAGGGUGCGUAGGUGGCUCGUUAAGUCAGGGGUGAAAGUUUUCGGCCCAACCGGAAAAUGGCCUUUGAUACUGGCGAGCUCGAGUGCGUGAGGGGUAACCGGAACGAGCAGUGUAGCGGUGAAAUGCGUAGAUAUUGCUCGGAAGGCCAACGGCGAAGGCAGGUUACUGGUACGCAACUGACACUGAGGCACGAAAGCGUGGGGAGCAAACAGG
rnacentral:rRNA from 1 species